AGCUGUGCAACAAUGCUCCCCAUCCAACCUGACAGAGCUUGAGAGGAUCUGCAGAGAAGAAUGGGAGAAACUCACCAAAUACAGGUGUGCCAAGCUUGUAGCUUCUUACCCAAGAAGACUUGAGGAUGUAAUCGCUGCCAAAGGUGCUUCAACAAAGUACUGAGUAAAGGGUCUGAAUACUUAUGUAAAUGGUGUAUUGUGUGUUGAUUGAUGAGAAAAAAAAGUAUAAUUAUAUCAAUUUUUUAAUAAGGCUGUAACAUAACAAAAUGUGGAAAAAGUCAAGGGGUCUGAAUUAUUUCCGAAUGCACUGUAGACGUUCACACACUUGUUUGAGGAAGUUACGUCAUGUCAUCACACCCACCAGUGUGGAGACCCUACUCUAGCUCUUAUUACCAUCUUUUAUGCCUAAGUUGGUUUUAGGUGGUUUGAAACAACCAAUUGAUAUACUAUAAGGUCUGUAAGUCAAGUAAUAAACUAGUGUGGGAGGAAACACGAGCUGUCAGUUCACAUCUCUGUUCCCUUCCCUGUAGGUAGUGUACUUCACAUCUCUGUUCCCUUCCCUGUAGGUAGUGUACUUCACAUCUCUGUUCCCUUCCCUGUAGGUAGUGUACUUCACAUCUCUGUUCCCUUCCCUGUAGGUAGUGUACUUCACAUCUCUGUUUCCUU